rnacentral:rRNA from 1 species
AUUGAACGCUGGCGGCAUGCCUUACACAUGCAAGUCGAACGGCAGCACGGGAGCAAUCCUGGUGGCGAGUGGCGAACGGGUGAGUAAUAUAUCGGAACGUGCCCAGUCGUGGGGAUAACGUAGCGAAAGCUACGCUAAUACCGCAUACGAUCUAUGGAUGAAAGCGGGGGAUCGCAAGACCUCGCGCGAUUGGAGCGGCCGAUAUCAGAUUAGGUAGUUGGUGAGGUAAAGGCUCACCAAGCCGACGAUCUGUAGCUGGUCUGAGAGGACGACCAGCUACACUGGAACUGAGACACGGUCCAGACUCCUACGGGAGGCAGCAGUGGGGAAUUUUGGACAAUGGGCGCAAGCCUGAUCCAGCAAUGCCGCGUGCAGGAUGAAGGCCUUCGGUUGUAAC